GAUUAGGGUGAAGUCGUAACAAGGUAGCCGUAGGAGAACCUGCGGCUGGAUCACCUCCUUUCUAAGGAAUA
rnacentral:rRNA from 1 species